rnacentral:rRNA from 1 species
UGGGGAAUAUUGCACAAUGGGCGAAAGCCUGAUGCAGCAACGCCGCGUGAGUGAUGAAGGCCUUCGGGUUGUAAAGCUCUGUCUUUUGGGACGAUAAUGACGGUACCAAAGGAGGAAGCCACGGCUAACUACGUGCCAGCAGCCGCGGUAAUACGUAGGUGGCAAGCGUUGUCCGGAUUUACUGGGCGUAAAGGAUGCGUAGGCGGAUUUUUAAGUGAGAUGUGAAAUACCCGGGCUUAACUUGGGUGCUGCAUUUCAAACUGGGAAUCUAGAGUGCGGGAGAGGAGAAUGGAAUUCCUAGUGUAGCGGUGAAGUGCGUAGAGAUUAGGAAGAACACCAGUGGCGAAGGCGAUUCUCUGGACCGUAACUGACGCUGAGGCAUGAAAGCGUGGGUAGCAAACAGGAUUAGAUACCCUGGUAGUCCACGCCGUAAACGAUGAGUACUAGGUGUAGGAGGUAUCGACCCCUUCUGUGCCGCAGUUAAACACAAUAAGUACUCCGCCUGGGAAGUACGAUCGCAAG